rnacentral:rRNA from 1 species
GUCCAGACUCCUACGGGAGGCAGCAGUGAGGAAUAUUGGUCAAUGGGCGGGAGCCUGAACCAGCCAAGUCGCGUGAGGGAAGAAGGUACUGAGUAUUGUAAACCUCUUUUGCCAGGGGACAAAGGCGGCCACGGGUGGCCGUAAGAGGGUACCUGGAGAAAAAGCAUCGGCUAACUCCGUGCCAGCAGCCGCGGUAAUACGGAGGAUGCGAGCGUUAUCCGGAUUCACUGGGUGUAAAGGGAGCGUAGACGGCGACGCAAGUCUGGAGUGAAAGCCCGGGGCCCAACCCCGGGACUGCUCUGGAAACUGCGUCGCUGGAGUACGGGAGGGGCAGGCGGAAUUCCUGGUGUAGCGGUGAAAUGCGUAGAUAUCAGGAGGAACACCGGCGGCGAAGGCGGCCUGCUGGACCGUGACUGACGUUGAGGCUCGAGAGCGUGGGGAGCAAACAGGAUUAGAUACCCUAGUAUA